rnacentral:lncRNA from 1 species
CAAAAUACCAUUUUUUAUCCUUUAUCUGUUAAUAUUUAAUAUAUUAAAUAUUAAAAUAAAUUAUUAAUAUAUAUUAAUUAUUAAAAAAAUAUAGAAAAAAUGUAUUUUAUAUAUAGUAUGUUUUUAUAUGAUUUUGGUUUUGUUUUUGGCUUCAAGCUUCGGUUCAAGUUCGGUUUGGAUAUAGACCAAAACUAUAACUGAAAUCUAUUACUAUAUACUAAAGUAGAACCCUUAAUGAACCCUAUGUGAGAAGUUGACACGUAGCGCUCUAUAUGUUUGCCACGUGUCAAGCUCAAAUAUAGAUUUUUUAUUUUAGAAAAAAAAAUAGAUUUUUUAAGAAAAUAAUAUCUUAAUAUCUUUUACUAAAUUAUUAAAAAUCACCUGUAAUGAAAGAAAUUUUAUUUCAAAGUCAUCUAUAAUUAUGUUGAGAUAUUUAAUAAAUUUACGGAUAUUACGUUGCGAAAGAAUUGGCAGUUACAGAAAUUACGCAUGAGAAGGAAAAUAUUUAUUUUUAUUCGGGAAUAAAUUACUACUUAGUUAAUUAUUUGAAAUUAUUAGUUGAAAAUUACUGGACAUAAAAAUAUUAGUAAAAAAUGAUAGAGACAAUUUCCUAAUGUGGCUUUCUAUAUGUUUUCCACAUGUCAUCAUAUCUAUUCUAUUUGCUAUAUUAUUAAAUUCAAAUAAUAGGUGGAUUAAUGAGAUAUUUGAGAAAUUUACGGAUAUUACGUUAUGAAAUAAUUGACUGGUGCGGAUAUUACGCGUGAGAAGGAAAAUAUUUGAGAAACGCGUAGAUAGAAAAUAGGAUAUAAAUGCGAGGGUAAUAUUGUCAUAAAAAUUAACAGAUAUUUUUAUUUUCAAUCAUUAGAUAAGAUCUAAUGGCAAAAAAUUAAUAUCUUUUACUAUAUUAUUAAAAAUCACCUAUAAU